UACGUAGGGGGCAAGCGUUGUCCGGAUUUAUUGGGAGUAAAGAGCGUGUAGGCGGCUUGGCAAGUCCGCUGUGAAAACUCGAGGCUCAACCUCGAGAGGUCGGUGGAAACUGCCUGGCUAGAGUCCGGAAGAGGAGAGUGGAAUUCCUGGUGUAGCGGUGAAAUGCGCAGAUAUCAGGAAGAACACCCGUGGCUAAGGCGGCUCUCUAGUACGGUACUGACGCUGAGACGCGAAAGCGUGGGGAGCGAACAGG
rnacentral:rRNA from 1 species